CUCUAACUGAGAGAAUCCCUGAGACAAAACCCAUCAAGUGACAAAUGCCAACUGCUGAUUUGCCCUUGAGGAUUUCUAACAGGACCUGCCACAUAACCUUAAAAUGCCCAUGCUUUUCUGUCAUGCCCCUAGAACAGCAGCAAAGCCCAAGCUCUGGAGAAGUGUGAACAGAGACCCUCACCUGAAGCAGCUGCUGCUCUUCUGGCCCCACCUGAACCAGGUUUUAGUGACAAAGGCCAUUUUAUUCCACAAGGAGUCAAAAACAACCAUGAUAAGGUUUACAGAGCCAAGGACUUGGCUCUCUGGCAGCAAUGCCAACAGCUCCAGAAAAUCACCUGGGAACACACAGCAACCUGGACUGCGCAUGGAGCAGCUCUCAUCAAAGGGAAGUGCUCACUUAAAACCCUCAGAGGAGCUGACCAAAUGCCCACAGCCCAGUAGGGAAUUCCUUGAAUAAAGACCUAGAAUAAGAA